GGCCCGGUGGCGGAUGGUCCGCACCUGCAACCUGUACCGGGAGUCCUGGUUCUUGUAUAAGCAGGAUAUGCUCGUUCGAUUCGAGCCCGGGCCA